rnacentral:rRNA from 1 species
AUGAACGCUGGCGGUGUGCCUAAUACAUGCAAGUCGAACGAAGACCCUUGUACUCGUACGAGGAAUUCUUAGUGGCGAACGGGUGAGUAUCGCGUUGGUGACCUGCCCCGAAGUGGGGGACAACAGUUCGGAAGGACUGCUAAUACCCCAUGUGGCCGUGAUAAUUAGAAAGUCACGACUAAAGGAGUAAUCCGCUUCGGGAGGGGCCUGCGUCCCAUCAGCUAGUUGGUAAGGUAAUGGCUUACCAAGGCAACGACGGGUAGGGGACCUGAGAGGGUGGCCCCCCACACUGGUACUGAAACACGGACCAGACACCUACGGGUGGCAGCAGUAGGGAAUAUUGCACAAUGGGCGAAAGCCUGAUGCAGCAACACCGCGUGUGUGAUGAAGGCCUUCGGGUCGUAAAGCACUUUUAUGAGGGAAGAGGAAGGACGGUACCUCAUGAAUAAGGAUCGGCUAACUACGUGCCAGCAGCCGCGGUAACACGUAGGAUCCAAGCGUUAUCCGGAUUUACUGGGCGUAAAGCGCGUGUAGGCGGCUUGGUAAGUUGGAUGUGAAAGCUCCCGGCCCAACCGGGAGACGUCGUUCAAUACUGCCAGGCUUGAGGACGAUAGAGGAAGGUGGAAUUCCGGGUGUAGUGGUGAAAUGCGUAGAUAUCCGGAGGAACACCAGUGGCGAAGGCGGCCUUCUGGGUCGUUCCUGACGCUCAGACGCGAAAGCUAGGGUAGCGAACGGGAUUAGAAACCCCGGUAGUCCUAGCCGUAAACGAUGUCAACUUGGUGUUGGUGGCGUAAAA